CACGUAGGGUGCGAGCGUUGUCCGGAAUUAUUGGGCGUAAAGAGCUCGUAGGCGGUCUGUCGCGUCGAAUGUGAAAACCCGGGGCUCAACCCCGGGCCUGCAUUCGAUACGGGCAGACUAGAGUUCGGUAGGGGAGUCUGGAAUUCCUGGUGUAGCGGUGAAAUGCGCAGAUAUCAGGAGGAACACCGGUGGCGAAGGCGGGACUCUGGGCCGAUACUGACGCUGAGGAGCGAAAGCGUGGGGAGCAAACAGG
rnacentral:rRNA from 1 species